rnacentral:rRNA from 1 species
UACGGAGGGGGCUAGCGUUGUUCGGAAUUACUGGGCGUAAAGCGCGCGUAGGCGGCUUUGUAAGUUAGAGGUGAAAGCCCGGAGCUCAACUCCGGAAUUGCCUUUAAGACUGCAUCGCUAGAAUCAUGGAGAGGUGAGUGGAAUUCCGAGUGUAGAGGUGAAAAUUCGUAGAUAUUCGGAGGAACACCAGUGGCGAAGGCGGCUCACUGGUCCAUUACUGACGCUGAGGUGCGAAAAGCGUGGGGAGCAACAGG